rnacentral:snoRNA from 1 species
CCCGCCACUUCACCUGACCCUUCUCUGUUGGCUGGUGCAAUCCAGUGUUGAGCUGAGAGUAAACCCCAAAUUAGGAAACAGGAUUGUUCUUCAUGUGCAUGACUCCAUGCCAAAAGCAUGGGGACAGUC